rnacentral:SRP_RNA from 1 species
CCUGGGCGUCGUGGCGGGCCACUGUCAGCCAGAUUCCAGGUAGUAGAUUGGUGUCGAUGGAGUGAGGGGAGGAGUCCCGCGGUAGUCGUUGAGUACGACGACAGGGCGUCCGCGCAAAGCGUUGCGUCGCCAAGGGUCACCCGCCGGAAGGUGGGAGGUCCUGGGCUGUCAAGGAGGGGUGCACGGCUCAGGCCCGAAAGGGAGCAGGCAAAAGCCCCCGCGCGACGCAGUGGCCGGAGCGCACGAGUGCUUGCACUGCCACGGCCUCUCCGAUACCUUCAGAGCUCCAAU